rnacentral:tRNA from 3 species
GAGAGAGGCUCGCUAGCAGUAAAGACUGCUAAUCUUUUACCCCUUUGGUUGAACCCCAAAGCUCACUCG